GUUAUCUCUCUUUGUUUUCAUACACUGUUUGUCAUUGAGGGUAAUUUCCGCAUCUAUUUUUAGUAACAGAAAUUCUGUUCAGCUAAAGUAUUUAAGAUUUUUAUUUAAAAUAAUUUUUGUCAUUGUCAUUUUUCAAAUAAUGAUGGAAACUACACACAAGUUUUUAUUUAAAUGUAUUGUUUAAUAUUUUGAUAAUUUCAACAUCACUUCCUGUGAUCACGUGACUUCAUAGUUUAUGAUUUUGCACGAAAUGUUUCGCGCUAUGAAGGCUGUGUGUUGAACAAUAACAUUGUUGAAGCUGAAUAUUAUCUCUAGCUAGGUGUACCAACUGUUGUACAGUAUCACUGUGGUCGACGGUGACCUUGACCUGAGUUUAUGCAUUGAGGCCCUAGUUGGGCACACUGUCAUUUAUUACUGCCAAUAUCAUUACCAUUAUAAUUUGUAAUAUCAUUGAUAUUCAUAAUUAAUAAACUUAUAAAAAGAACAAAUCUGGUUAUCACAAAAUGGCGUCGUGGACAGGAUAUAUUAAUGGUUAACUCGGAUUAUAUGGCAGUGUGAUGUGCAUAAUUUAGGUCUCCAGUAUCAACAUGAGAGUUAAUGGUUCAGUGACGAUAUGAUGUGAAGAGCUGUUUCGGACAACUAGAGCAACUUAGGAUUCAUUUGGUAGGAGAGUUACAGUGUAUUAUUUAUUACCAUGUCGGAAGAAGAAUUAAAAGCCAAAUUGACAUUUCAAACUAUGAAGACUGAAAAAUUAGAACAUGAACUAAUAAAAGCAAACACCAUUAUUGAAAAAUUAAAUGCCGAUGUACAUAACAUGAGUUUCGCUAAAUCAGAAGAACAUAAAACUGUUUUCAUAGCAAGGGAGAAGAAAAUACCAAAACUGUGUGGACGACCUAUAAGUGUUAAUGACCCAGACAUAUGCGAGUGGAUUCAUGAUGUAAA